AGUACAAUGGGUCUGCUCCAUAGAGUAAUACACAAUGUAUUACUAUAAGGUUAGUUAAUACCGCUAUAAUAUAAAUGGCGAAUUUGUAGAACAAUUUAUUUACAAUAAUAUUCUUGUAUUGUUGAGUUAAAUAUUAUCGAAUACGAAUCAGGGACCAAAACCUUGAAGAAUUGUACGGUUCCAGUUCCGGUUCGGUUCCUAGUAAUAAGUAAACCUACUGUUCUCGAGUAAUUUUUAGUAGUUUUGACAAAUCAAGUUAAACAAUCGAAGAAUUGUUAAUUUAUAUUGUUCCUUCAUCUUCUCACGUUGUGUCGAAAAAGACGAAUUCAUACACGAUACUUGGAGCCGAUGAAUAUAACUAGAGAAUUUUGGAAGAAUAUUUGUAUUUUUAAAGACAAACCAUCAUACAUAUGGUAUUUAUAACGAAUAUUUAGAGAAUAUAUUGCCUUUUUUGAACGAUAUGAAAACAUCAUAUGUUAAGGAUUUUAAGAGAAUAUUAAUCCUACCUCUAGAUAUAACCGAACGGUCCCACAACAUCUUGUGGUCUCAGUGUUCUGCGGUGUUCUUUUGCAGAAAAACAACGUAAGGAAGCCUUUUCACCGGGAGACUACGAGUGCUAGCAGUUUAUUCAGCAUCAUCAAUACACCGUCGUUUCUCAGGUAUAAGUUAUAAGUAUUCAUACGCGGCGCUGUAUAACAAAUAUUCUGAGUCGCGUCAGCAUUCUUCGAGAUACGUGACGAGAUGUCUCACGUUCAUAUGAAAAAAAAAAAGAAAAAAGAUGAUAGAAUGGAAAUGCUGAAAAGAGUUAUUUGAAUACAAACGUGGAGGCGCUUGAAAAUUCUGACGAGCACAACACACACAUCAGUUGUCCGGCGCCAUUAGAGGUAUUUGUUCUUCGCGUCAGCAGUUUCGGAGCUAAGAAUGUUAACAUUACGUGAAGACGUCGUGGGAUUCAUUUCUGACCCAGUAUCUAGGACGAGUAUCUAGUAAAAUGAAUUUAUUAUUAUUAGUUUAGAUAUAAUUAUAGCUUAUGUACGAUGUGUCAAAUACUGUAAGGGACUUAACCAUAUUAGAUUAAAACAAUUGUGCUUGUAAUACCCCACUCAUUAUAGGACCUGUAAAGAGGCUCGUAACACGCAAGUAAGAAUGUUCUUUUGCAAUCCCUACCUCCGCAUCCUCUGCCGUUGCCACCGAGCCACCAUUUACCCCCCCCCCCCCCCAACUUACAUCACCCAAGCCUGUUUUUGACAAUAACUAUGAUUAAACUUUUUAUUUAAUCACAAACUAGUACGUAUGUAUAACUACUAUGUAGUAGUUCGUGUACUCAACAAUGUUUUGAUUUGAUAAUACAUACGAUAACGCAUUUGAAAAAUAACGAAUAAUAAUAUUUAUAAUUAUUGUUCCUGCAAAGAACCAUUCAUGAAAUAACCGAUAUGAUUUGUGAUAGUACUAAAUGCAUGUGAUCACACUUUUUAUCCGCAGACACCCAUUCAUCCCGCACCACUUAAACUUUUGAUGCUCCAAUGUUAAUCGUGAACAUUUCUUUCCAACCAUUUAUUAACAUUUCGAAUUUUCGCAUCUUAUGUUUCUAAUUGUUCGUCUUCGUGGUCGCUAAUAUUGAACAUAAUCACGCAACGUUUAAUGGUCACUAGUGUCUGUUUUCACACUUUUAUGCCAUCAUCAUAUCGACCUUUCAAGGUCAUAAUAAGAAAUCUGCACCACACAACACUUAUAUCUGAUAUAUCUGAUGCACUUUCGGAGUUGGGUCACUCUAUCAGAUGUGUGACCAUUGUUAUUAAAAAAGGCCUUCCGUGGCUGCUAUUUCUCAUAGAGUUACUGUAACGUGAUCGGGGUGACUAAUUAGAUAUAAGAUUUUCAGGCAAGGUUUUCAGGUCCUUUUGAAUAUGUUUUACCGUAGCUUGGAAGCAUAGAUGUUAUUUGAGAUACAAAUAUUACAAAUAAAUGGAGAUUGGUUUAAUAGUAACUAUUGCAUAAAGGUUUAUUGAUACUUACAAAAUAUAAAUAUGGAGUUGUCCAGGAGUUCCUAUGCAUGAUGGUAGUCGUCGCGAACUCCCGACCCCCCCGUUAUUAGUAUUUGGCCGUAGCCUUACUAUAUUUAAUAUAGUAAAGCAGGGGGGGAACGUAAUUUCUUGUAAGCAUAUGUAACAAUUGUUACAUUACCCCCCCCCCCAUUUUUAAAUUAACAUAUUUUUA